rnacentral:rRNA from 1 species
GAUGAACGCUAGCGGCAGGCUUAACACAUGCAAGUCGAGGGGUAUAGUUCUUCGGAGCUAGAGACCGGCGCACGGGUGCGUAACGCGUAUGCAAUCUACCUUUUGCAGAGGGAUAGCCCAGAGAAAUUUGGAUUAAUACCUCAUGGUAUGUGAGAAUGGCAUCAUUUUCACAUUAAAGUCACAACGGCAAAAGAUGAGCAUGCGUCCCAUUAGCUAGUUGGUAAGGUAGCGGCUUACCAAGGCAACGAUGGGUAGGGGUCCUGAGAGGGAGAUCCCCCGCACUGGUACUGAGACACGGACCAGACUCCUACGGGAGGCAGCAGUGAGGAAUAUUGGACAAUGGGCGCAAGCCUGAUCCAGCCAUGCCGCGUGCAGGAUGACGGUCCUAUGGAUUGUAAACUGCUUUUGUACAGGAAGAAACACUGGUUCGUGAACCAGCUUGACGGUACUGUAAGAAUAAGGAUCGGCUAACUCCGUGCCAGCAGCCGCCGUAACAC